GGGUUGCUAACUCAACGGUAGAGUACUCGGCUUAUCUACUCCAUCCGACUAGUUCCGGGUUCGAGUCC
rnacentral:tRNA from 1 species